GGUUCGAUGGCGUAGUUGAUUAUCGCAUCUGUCUAACAUGUCAAUGGGACUGUGGAUGACAUAGAAGGUCCCCAGUUCGAGCCUGGGUCGAAUCA